GGCUGCGUAGCUCAGUGGUUAGAGCGAGGGACUCAUAAUCCCUAGGUCGGUGGUUCGAUUCCACCCGCAGCCACCA
rnacentral:tRNA from 1 species